rnacentral:lncRNA from 1 species
UGGGGGAUGAGGAGGGCGGGGGCUGCCGGAUCCGGCCGGGGGGAAGGCAGGCAGAGGGGAGGAGAGUCGGCGGCGCGAGCUGGGCAAGGUCGGGGACGGAGGGGAGAAGAGAGAAGAAGACCGGGGGAGGAGGAAGAAGAGGAAGUUAGUGGAGAUUUCUGACCGGUGGGUAUGCUAAGAUAAUUUGUACGUUAGUCCAUAUUUUUAAUCUUGCCAUCGGUGUAUUUUUCGGUACUUUUUCAGUAUUUUUAUUUUAGUACUUUUCAGUAUUUUUUCUUUUCCAUUUGAUCAAUUAUGUUGGACGGUUCCUAAAAUUGACAAUCAUUGUAAAACUUGUAUUGACCAAUAGUUGAUUUACAAAAAUGUCCGGCAAAAGUUUUGGACACAGAAAACACACCUUUCUCGCGCCUGGGUAACAUAUACGUAGAUCUAAAGAUUCUUCAGCCAGCUGUGCAGUAGCACCCUAAUUAUAAAGCGACAAUGCACUAUAUGCCUAAAACGUAUGUACGCAUACUAUUCAUGAAAUCGACGGGUGUCCUUUUGGAUGUGUGUGUGUUUCUCUUUUCACGUUUUUCAUAUCGAUCGUCCUUUGAUGAGGAAGACAGCAUUAGCACGCAUGUGGCUGAAAAGCUAACCAGUACACUGUACGUCGAUAGAAUUAUCACUGUAUAUUGACCA